UACGGAGGGUGGCAAGCGUUAUCCGGAUUCACUGGGUUAAAGGGUGCGUAGGUGGGUUGGUAAGUCAGUGGUGAAAUCUCCGUGCUUAACAUGGAAAUUGCCAUUGAUACUACUGGUCUUGAAGUUUUCUGGAGGUAAGCGGAAUAUGUCAUGUAGCGGUGAAAUGCUUAGAUAUGAACAUAGAACACCGAUUGCGAAGGCAGCUUACUACAGGGACAUUGACACUGGAGGCACGAAAAGCGUGGGGAUCAAACAGGA
rnacentral:rRNA from 1 species